UGUUACAAGCUUUCGUAAUCUAUAAUGUUUAUUUCCACUAGAUGGCGCUUGUGUACUUCAACACUCAUUUAUUUAUAACUUUUUGAUCAGUCUAAUCUGUAUAUUUUUAUAUUUUGACUAUUUUAUAAUGCUUAUUGUGAUUUAUAUACUCAACUGUUGUAUAUUUGAGGAAUAUUUAUUCUUUCUAAGAGUUUUCUUUGGUUAUAUUUUAUUUUGCUCCCAUCGUGCCUUUGUAUGUCACUUCCUGUUUUGUCACGGAGAACGAGUCAGAACUGCGGUCCGAGUUUCACAGAGCAAUUCUGCUGAUCAUAUGGAAUGAUGUAAUCAUUGCAAAGUUUAAAGUAUUUCUAUUUAGAAGUCAUCCGAUAAAGAAGCUUCAAGAUAACCCCCUCUCUUAGCUCAUAAGCAGGCAAAAGUGUUCUACGGUGUUGGUGUUGGUGUUGGAGUCUAAGUCCAGAACACAUUAAACAUCAGUUAAAGAACCUCAGCCUUCGCGUCAUGACUAAGGGCGGGCAUAGUAGAACACUUACUGCGUCGGUGAAGGCCAACUGCAUCAGAUCGUAAAGCUGCACGAGGAAAUCGGCCAUCAAGAGGCGCCACAUGUUGAAUGAGGGAAGUACAACAUGAAAAGAUUGCAAUUGACUUGACUGAAGCAAGCAAAGGCUGAACAAGCAAGCACUUUUGAAGUUAGUGACUUGGAAGCAGCGCAAGGUCUUGUGAACUGUCACUGAAGUUUCAAUUGCUCUGGUAUUUCCAUCAUUCCCAUUCUAAGAUAAAGUUGGACAUUUUUCUAUUAUCGUUUGACUUAUUAAGAAACUAAAAGGGACUAAACAGAUAAACAAUUUUGCUACUAUUAAAUAAGACUAAAGUUUGAAUUUUCUGUUGUAUUCAAGUAUUUGUGUAUACUUCAUCAUUUAAGCGUGUUGAUAUUCACAUUUUAUUUUAUUUUUUUUUACAAGUUGAAUUCAUAGACUACUUCUUGACAGUUCUGUAGCUUGUUAUCAUUUACAUGAUUGGAUCACAUAAGUGUAGCUGAGAUAACCGCUUUACACUAAACUUUAGAUUGCUUUUUGAAUAUUCACAUUAUAGUGCAACACAGGCUUAGCAUGUCAAAUACAAGUGAAAAUACAUUGCUGGCUACUAAAGAAGUUAGCUAUACAACCCCUACUGCACAAGACGUAGACAAUGCAGAGCAGGUCAUUCCAUCAGAGCAGGCUGAUAUAACUGAACAAGUUGAAGUGGCUGCACAAGUACAACAACCUCAGGUGGACAUAGAUAAUACACAGCUCUCAGAUAUUAGAAGAAGCCAGCGAGCACGCACGCUUACCGAGAAGGGUAAAACGCUGCAAGACGCUAGACUAAAUGAUCUGAAAAGAAGCUUUGAGCAGAAGUAUAGAAGGUGGAAGUAUCACAUCAAUGGUUUGAAAAGAGCCAUUAAGAAUAAUGAUGAUGCAGAAUUGAUUUGUGAAGUUGUGAGCACCAUUAAUGCCACUCAGUCUGAGGUCGACCAUAUUUAUGGUGAUAUAAGAAGCAUCACAAGCCCUGAACCUGAAAUUCGGAGGAAAAAUGACACUUGCCUUGCCAUUACUAGCACUGCAAAUGAGAAGUCUCAAAGAUUCCUCAACGGUGAUCCUAAGGACAUUCCCUGGCCUGAUUCAGAUUCAGUGUUUGAAGCCACUGUGUCCAGCAUCAUCUCAGCAACCUCCAGUAAGUCAAAGUCUGUUUCCAAGAUGUCCAGUCAAUCUUACAGUGAUUCUCUGCAGAAAAGACAAGAAGCAGCGGCUGAAGUAGCGGCUACACAAGAAGUGAUUAAAAUAAUGAAGACACAACAUCAACAUGAAGAGGAAAUUAGGAAACUGGAGGCAGAGGAUGAAAGGUUAGCAGCAGAAAGAGAAGCUCAAGAAAGGGAAACCGAAGCGGAGAAUGCAAGGAAAAGGGCUCAAUUUAUUUCAGAAAGCACUGUUAGAAAAUUAAAGCUGGAAGAAAAGAAAAAAGAAGUGGAACGGUUGGAGGAACUAAAAAGACAUAACGCAGCACAAGCAAGGCUGCAAGUUUAUGCUGAAAGCAUCAAAGGUGAUGAGGGAGAACAGCGUUCUGCUCCUCUUCUUCAACAAAGGCAAGAACAUUAUGUUUUUCAACCAAGCGUUCCUUUUUCUCUCUCUCAGCCAUUUACGCUCGCUCAAGACACUGCUCCUUUCAACCAACCCUCUUGUUCUUCUCAAAGGUUACCCCAAGCUCAUAUCUCUCAGUCACCUACAUGGCCUGCUCCCAACGAAGCUUCUAAUGAUCUUGUGAAGGCACUGGCUGAAGCGAUUACAGCCAAUAGGAUUCCAAUUACAGAACCUGUUGUUUUUUCUGGAGAUCCCCUGAAGUAUAAUGACUGGAAGCUGUCCUUCCAGACGUUAAUUGAUCGCAAGAACUUGCCAUCACAAGAAAAGCUAUUCUUUCUAUGCAAGUAUGUAGGUGGUCCUGCCAAGAGAGCGAUUGAAGGACAUUUUGUGGCUGGAACAGAAAUGGCUUACACGGCAGCCUGGAACAUCCUUGAUGACCGGUUCGGCAAUCCGUUCGUAGUUGGCAAAUCUUACCGUGACAAAAUACAGUCUUGGCACAAGAUUGCUGCCAAAGACAGCAAAGACCUCCAGGAAUUUGUAGAUUUCCUAAGCAGUGUUGAAUCAGCAAUGCCUUAUGUACAAGGUUUACAAGCUCUGAAUGACUGUGUUGAAAAUCAAAGAAUAUUAGCCAAAUUGCCAGACUGGUUGAGUUCACGUUGGAAUAGAGCAGUCACCAAGUUUCAAGACGAAUACAAAGGAUUCCCAGAUUUCAAAUACUUUGUUGAAUUUCUUAACAAGGAAGCUAGAAUCGCAUGCAAUCCUAUCACCUCACUGCAAGCGAUAAAGCCAGCAGAGCAAGAAAGGUUCAAGCAAUCAGAUCAAGAUCAUUAUAAGUUUCAGAGGAAUCGCAACUCAAGUGCAAAGACAUUCACCACUAGUUCCAGUGAAAGGACUAGCCUUAUGUGUGUCUUUUGUAAGAGAUUAGGCCACACUCUCCAUAAGUGUCGCAAAAUUAUGGAAAGACCAAUUGAGGAAAGAUUGAAGUUUGUACAGUCUGAGAAGUUGUGCUUUGGCUGUCUUAAGACUGGUCAUAACUCCAGAAGCUGCACCUCUAGGAGUGUGUGUGAAAAAUGUGAGAAGUGUCACCCAACAAGCCUACACCAGGACCGUGUAAAUAAAUACCCAGGACAAAGCUCUAGAACCAGUCAAGAUCAGUUCAAGGUCAAUCACGGAUCUGCAGAUAGAACAGCUGAAUCACAGAAGGUACAAGAGUCUAAGCCUGUGACUUCAAACAGAGUAGUUCAAGAAAGGAACGGCACUCAUACGUCAUCAAUCAUUCCAGUAUAUGUCUCAACAACAGAUGAACCAAGGAAGGAGAUUUUAGUGUAUGCCUUGCUUGAUACUCAGAGCGACACUACUUUCAUUUUAAAGGACACAGCUGAGACACUUGAUAUCAAGAAAGAGCCUGUCAAACUCAAGAUUUCCACCAUAACAUCCAAAACGAAGGUUGUGUCCAGUCACAAAUUGAAUGGUCUACAAGUAAGAGGCAUUCAGUCUGAAGUUAAAAUCAAACUUCCAACAACUUAUACUAGAGACUACAUACCUGCAAAUAGAUCUCAUAUACCCACAUGUGAAACCGCAAAGAAUUGGCCUCAUCUAGAACAUCUGGCAGAUGAAAUGGCUCCUGCACUUGACUGUGAAGUAGGUUUGUUAAUAGGCUACAACUGCCCUCAAGCCUUACUUCCCAGGGAUGUUCUCAGUGGCAAUGAAGAUCAGCCAUUUGCACAAAGAUCCGUGUUGGGUUGGAGUAUCGUUGGAUACAACCAUGACGACAAUUAUUAUGAAGAUGAAAUCGGUGUGAGUCACAGGAUUAUCAUGAAGCAAGUUCUACCAGCUCGUGAUCCAUCUCACAAACUCAAGUCUGAAGUCUGCUUUGUACAGAGGAACAAGGUUAAAGAGAUGAUCACUCCGGCAGAGAUAUUGAAGGUUUUUGAGUCAGACUUUGUAGAACGGGAUAAUGAGGAAGUCUCAACGUCGCAAGAAGACUUAAGGUUUUUGGCAAAAUUGAAUGAAGGCAUUAAGCAAGUGCAAGAUGGACACUAUGAGAUGCCAUUGCCUUUUAAGGGUGAGAGGCCAGAUUUGCCAAACAACAAAGCGUGUGCAGAGCAUCGACUCAAAUCCCUAGAGAAGCGUUUAAAGAGAGAUGAACAGUACCAAAAGGACUACAUGGCUUUCAUGAAGGACAUAAUAGCAAGAGGCGAUGCUGAAAGGGUCCCAGAGAUGGAGUUAAGUAGUCAACCAGCAUGGUAUAUACCUCACCAUGGAGUAUAUAACCCACAGAAGCCAGGCAAGAUUCGUAUCGUCUUUGAUUGCUCUGCAAGAUUUCAGAAUACUUCUCUGAAUGAGCAUCUACUGACUGGGCCUGACCUCACAAAUACCCUUGUUGGAGUCUUGUGUCGUUUCCGGAAAGGGCAAGUAGCCAUCAUGUGUGAUGUGGAGCGUAUGUUCCACCAGUUCCACGUUGCUCCAAAGGAUCGGGACUACCUCAGGUUCCUAUGGUGGGAAGAUAGAAACAUGGAAGCCUCACCUUCAGUUUUUCGAAUGAAGGUCCAUUUGUUCGGAGCGGCCUCCUCGCCUGGAUGUGCAAACUUCGGCCUCAAAUACCUUGCCGUACAAGGUCAAGGCAAGUUUAAUCAAGCCACAGUGAAGUUCAUACAACGUAAUUUUUAUGUUGACGAUGGCUUAGCGAGUGUGGACACUGAAGCAGAGGCAAUCCAGCUUGUAAAGGAAGCCAGGGGUCUCUGCAAUACCGGAAAGCUUCGCUUGCAUAAAUUCAUCACCAACAGCAAGACGGUGAUUGCCACAAUUCCAAAGGAGGAAUGUACUGAAGGGGCAACUGACUUUGACUUGACCCUAGGAGAACCUAAAGUAGAGAGGGCGCUCGGCAUCCAAUGGUGCGUGGCUUCAGACAAGUUCCAUUUCAGAGUGUUAGUAAAGGAAAAUCCUUUUACUAGAAGAGGUGUGCUGUCUACAGUUGCUUCCAUUUUUGAUCCUCUUGGAUUCGUCGCUCCCUUCAUUUUAGUUGGGAAAAGGACUCUACAAAAGAUGUGUCAAGACAAGUUAGGCUGGGACGAACCACUUCCUGAUAACCUCAAGCCGCAUUGGGAAGCUUGGUUGCGAGACCUCCAUAACCUGUCUUUGGUGAAGAUACCACGUUGUUAUGUGCCAUCAACAUUCAAGGAUGUUCAACAAUAUGAGCUACACCAUUUCUCAGACGCCAGUGUGUCAGGCUAUGGAGUAUGUUCAUACCUCAGAGCUGUAACUAAGUCUGGAGAAGUCUACUGCACUCUUGUUAUGAGUAAAGCUAGGGUUGCUCCAACAAAGGUAACAACAAUUCCCAGACUGGAGCUCUCAGCUGCAGUGGUUGCCACAAGAACUGGUGAUCUGCUCAAAAGAGAACUAGAAUUGGAUGGCAUUCGUGAAUACUACUGGACCGACUCCAAAGUUGUCCUUGGCUAUAUUAACAACGAUGCACGACGUUUCCAUGUAUUUGUAGCCAACCGAGUUCAGCAGAUCAGAACAAGCACUGAGACUAGUCAAUGGAGAUAUGUGGCUUCAGAACAAAAUCCAGCUGACCAUGCCUCUCGUGGGCUCACCGUAAAGGAACUCAUGGGAUCGAACUGGUUUACUGGUCCAAGUUUCCUAUGGCAAAGAGAACUCCCUAAGGAUGACAUUAAGGUGGGAGAAGUUAAUGAUGGAGACCCGGAACUCAAAAGGGCACAGGUUCUAAUGACCAAGGCAAGGGAAGAGUGGUGUCUGUCAGAUCGCUUGCAAAGGUUUUCAGAUUGGAAGAGGGCAGUGAAAGCCAUAGCAAGGCUCAAACAUUGUGCAAGGAGUGCGAAAGGUUUGGUAGAAAGAUCCAACAAUUCCACAACACUUGAAGAAAGGAAGGAUGCUGAACAAUUCAUAAUUCACAUCGUUCAAGAAGAAGUGUUCAGUGACGAGAUCAAGCAUCUAAGACAAGGCAAGGAAGUUAAUUCAAGUCUUUUCAACAAGCUGUACAAGUUAAGUCCGUUUAUCGAUGACCAUGAUGUCUUACGAGUGGGAGGACGAUUGACACAGGCAGAGCUUCACUCUCAUGUCAAGCAUCCAGCCAUUCUUCCUAAAGGACAUCAUAUAUCUCGUUUACUCAUAAAACACUUCCAUGAAAAGGUGCAACAUCAAGGUCGUGGCAUGACCAUCAAUGAAAUCCGCUCCAAUGGUAUUUGGAUUCUGGGAUGCAGUAGCGAAGUUUCAUCUCUCAUCUACAAAUGCAUUAAGUGUAGGAAGCUGAGGAAAUGCAAUCAGGAGCAAAGGAUGGCUGACCUGCCACCAGAAAGGAUGGAAGCUACCCCUCCGUUCACCUAUAGUGGCAUGGACUGCUUCGGUCCGUUCUAUGUUAAAGAGGGAAGGAAAGAGUUGAAGAGAUACGGACUACUUUUCACCUGCAUGUGUUCGCGAGCUGUUCAUCUUGAGGUGCUGGAUGAUCUUAGUACUGAUGCCUUUCUUAAUGCACUGCGUUGUCUUAUUGCUAUACGUGGCAAUGUAAGUCAGCUUUAUAGUGAUCAAGGUACCAACUUCGUGGGUGCAAAGGGAGAGUUCCUGAAGUUGAUGAAGGGAAUGGAUCAAGAACGUGUGAAAGAGUUAGGCUGUACCUUUAUCAUGAACCCGUCUGCUUCCAGUCACAUGGGUGGUGUCUGGGAGAGACAGAUCCGGACUGUAAGGAGUGUACUAACGUCCAUCCUAGACAAGUCUGCAGCAAGACUGGACAGUUCUUCCUUAAGAACAUUCAUGUAUGAAGUAAUGGCGAUCGUAAAUAGUCGACCAUUGACCUCAGAGCACCUCAAUGAUCCUGUGGGACCAGAACCAUUGACGCCGAAUCAUAUACUAACAAUGAAGUCCACCAUCAUUGCACCACCUCCUGGAGAGUUUGUGAGGGAAGAUCUUUAUCUUCAGAAAAGAUGGAAAAGAGUUCAGUUUCUGGCAAAUGAGUUUUGGACCAGGUGGAGGAAGGAAUAUCUGUUGAAUCUGCAGCAGAGAAGUAAGUGGAAUAAGAGCAGGAGAAACACCAAAAUAAAUGAUAUCGUUCUGCUUCAAGAUGAUUUGGCAUCACGAAAUCAGUGGAAGCUAGCUAAAGUGGUAGAAGUUUUCCCAGGAUCUGAUGGAAUGGUGAGAAGACUUAAACUUCUUGUUAGUGAUGCAACACUAGAUAGCAAGGGUGCACGCACAAAUAAGUCAGUCUACUUAGAAAGACCCAUACACAAAACAGUGUUACUACUUGAAGCUGAUUAAAAGGGUUAAGUUUGAAAGGUGUUUAACUGUAUAUGUUAAACGUGUACAAAUACUUAUCCACUGAAUGUUUAUUAGUUCAUGUUGAGUUACUGAGUAUUUAUAAAGUAAAUUCUUUUAAGAAUCACACAUUGCGUGAUGGUGGGAGUGUGUUUGCUGUUACAAGCUUUCGUAAUCUAUAAUGUUUAUUUCCACUAGAUGGCGCUUGUGUACUUCAACACUCAUUUAUUUAUAACUUUUUGAUCAGUCUAAUCUGUAUAUUUUUAUAUUUUGACUAUUUUAUAAUGCUUAUUGUGAUUUAUAUACUCAACUGUUGUAUAUUUGAGGAAUAUUUAUUCUUUCUAAGAGUUUUCUUUGGUUAUAUUUUAUUUUGCUCCCAUCGUGCCUUUGUAUGUCACUUCCUGUUUUGUCACGGAGAACGAGUCAGAACUGCGGUCCGAGUUUCACAGAGCAAUUCUGCUGAUCAUAUGGAAUGAUGUAAUCAUUGCAAAGUUUAAAGUAUUUCUAUUUAGAAGUCAUCCGAUAAAGAAGCUUCAAGAUAACCCCCUCUCUUAGCUCAUAAGCAGGCAAAAGUGUUCUACGGUGUUGGUGUUGGUGUUGGAGUCUAAGUCCAGAACACAUUAAACAUCAGUUAAAGAACCUCAGCCUUCGCGUCAUGACUAAGGGCGGGCAUAACCAAAUAAUUGGAUUUCAAAGAAGAAAAAAAGGAUCAAUUUCCCUAUUUCAGUGGCGCUGUUGCCGCUGGAGGCCAUGUUGAGUCUUUCCCUCUAUGGGGUUCUCAACCAGAAUGCAAACAACUCGCCAGAUACCAACAAGCAACGGAAGGGUCCAGAGCUUUUGGGAAAAGUGUCCAUGCCUCUGUUUGAUUUCAGAAGGAAAGUCAUAAAAUAAUACCUCAAAUAAAUAAGAUUUAGAGUGUAUUGUAAGGUGUAGAAGUUUCAGGACUCCUUCAUAUUUGUUCAGUUGCACAUGCAAUUUUUCUUUGUAUGUAAUAAGUAAUAAUUCAGUAAUAAAUCAGUUAUUCAGUGUUCAUAAUGUCAAAAUGGAUCCAUAAACAGCUUCAUUGUUGAUGACUUAAAAGUAUGUAAUCAUUCAUUACCUCUUUAUGUAAAAUCUCGAAGGACAAAGAAAACACAUUAUGUAACACUGGCUAUAAUACAAUUACAGAUUUACUGCGAUAAUUAUUGAAAUAAAUGAUGAACUUUUCAUUGUGAAGCACGUGUACAUAUAGGCUAUGCUAUACUAUGCUAUAGGCCUGUUGGACUAUUCAUCCAAAAAAGUUACAUCUUUUGCUUUAGUGUGCCUGCUUUAUUAAAGGCAAAGGGUUGAUCAUACCAAAUUUGGAUUUAGUAGCAAAAAUAAAUUAUACAUGCGCAUAAUUUAUAUAUAUUCUGCACAGCACCGUACAUGGAUAUACAGAUUAUAUAAGCAAACAAAUAUUUUAUUAUUCACCUUCUCAGAGAGAUUUUUUUUGUGGCUUGAAUUCUUUUGUGAUUUUUGGUUGUUGAGACUGUCUGUUUCAAGUGUGAUGUUCUGGCUCAAGGAUUCUAGCAUUGGUAGAAUUUCUUUCAAAUAAUAAUAAUAAUAAUUCAACUAAAAGUGAUUACUACAAGAAAACCACACUGACAGAUACAUUUAUAUACGAAUGGAUAGACAGAAAAACAGACUUUGUUGCAGAGAUAUAUUUAGGGCACAUAGAUUUUCAUUUUCUUUCUGUAAUUCUGUAAUGUAAUUUUUUGCUGUAGUUGAGUUUCCCUCCUUGAUUCUUCAGCUUAACUGUCCUUGCUGUUUAUGUCUUGCAUUAAAGUUAGGGGUGGGCAAUAUAGCCUCAAAAUUAUAUCACAAUAUUCUAAGAAUAUUUGCGAUAAUUAUAUUUAUGACAAUAUGGGAAAAAAAAGCAUGGAACAAGGUUUUAUUGGUGAUUGCAGCUGGCAGGCAGCAGCAUUUAUUAGCACAAACAAAAUGAAGGGAAUUUUUCAUUCUUUUCCAAUGAGCUUCUGUCAUCGAUGACAGACUACCUAUCUUGAAAAUAAAAUUAAAUAAAAUCUAUUGUCAUAAGUUGGCAGCAGCAGCAGCCGCAGCAGCUGUGUGUUCGACUUGUAGCAGACCGAUCAGUGUACAGCGCCGUAGUUGGGGUCAUAUAAGCUCCGGUGCAGGUUUUACAGGUGGGCCCUGUUUGAAAUUGUGCAAAUAGCACAAAUAAACAAAUUAAACAAUGUUUCAGUUUUUUCAAAUUUGAAAAAUUGCUUUCUGCAUGCACACUGUAUGCACCGAACAGCGUGCGUGUGCUGAAUUAAAGGGUUAGUUCACCCAAAAAA